GAUGAAGAACGUAGCGAAAUGCGAUAAGUAAUGUGAAUUGCAGAUUUCAGUGAAUCAUCGAAUCUUUGAACGCACAUUGCGCCCGCCAGUAUUCUGGCGGGCAUGCCUGUUCGAGCGUCAUUUCAACCAUCAAGCCCCCGGGCUUGUGUUGGGGACCUGCGGCUGCCGCAGGCCCUGAAAACCAGUGGCGGGCUCGCUAGUCACUCCGAGCGUAGUAGUUACAUCUCGCUCAGGGCGUGCUGCGGGUUCCGGCCGUUAAAAGCCUUUUACCCCAAGGUUGACCUCGGAUCAGGUAGGAAGACCCGCUGAACUUAAGCAUAUCAAUAAGCGGAGGA
rnacentral:misc_RNA from 1 species